AACGAACGCUGGCGGCAUGCCUAACACAUGCAAGUCGAACGAGACCUUCGGGUCUAGUGGCGCACGGGUGCGUAACGCGUGGGAACCUGCCCUUAGGUUCGGAAUAACUCCCCGAAAGGGGUGCUAAUACCGGUUAAUGUCUUCGGACCAAAGAUUUAUCGCCUUUGGAUGGGCCCGCGUUGGAUUAGCUAGUUGGUAGAGUAAAAGCCUACCAAGGCGACGAUCCAUAGCUGGUCUGAGAGGAUGAUCAGCCACACUGGGACUGCGACACGGCCCAGACUCCUACGGGAGGCAGCAGUGGGGAAUAUUGGACAAUGGGAGAAAGCCUGAUCCAGCAAUGCCGCGUGAGUGAUGAAGGCCUUAGGGUUGUAAAGCUCUUUUACCUGGGAUGAUAAUGACAGUACCGGGAGAAUAAGCUCCGGCUAACUCCGUG
rnacentral:rRNA from 1 species